ensembl:misc_RNA Metazoa_SRP Metazoan signal recognition particle RNA
UCCUGGCAGGGUGGUGCACACCUGUAGUUCUGGCUACUCAGGAGGUUGAGGUGGGAGGGUUGCUUGAGUCCAGGAAUUCUGGGCUGUAGUGUGCUAUGCUGAUCCAGUGCCUGCACGAAGUUCUGUAUCAAUAUGGUAACCUAUCGGACGUGGGCGACCAGCAGGUUGCCUAAGGAGAGGCGAACCGACCCAGCUCAGAAAAGAAACAGGUCAAAACUCCCAAGCUCACCAGUAGUGAGAUCACGCCUGUGAACAGCCACUGCAUGCCAGCCUGGGCAAUAUCACUGUCUCUA